rnacentral:rRNA from 1 species
CCUACGGGAGGCAGCAGUGAGGAAUAUUGGGCAAUGGCCGAGAGGCUGAACCAGCUAAGUCGCGUGAGGGAAGAAUGUCCUAUGGAUUGUAAACCUCUGUUGUCAGGGAGCAAAGUCACCCACGUGUGGGUGUUGGAGAGUACCUGAAGAAAAAGCAUCGAGUAACUCCGUGCCAGCAGCCGCGGUAAUACGGAGGAUGCGAGCGUUAUCCGGAUUUAUUGGGUUAAAAGGGUGCGUAGGGGGGUUAUCAAGUCAGCGGUAAAAUCGUGGAGCCCAACUACAUCCAGCCUGUGAAACUGAUGAUCUUGAGUGGGCGAGAAGUAUGCGGAAUGCGUGGUGUAGCGGUGAAAUGCAUAGAUAUCACGCAGAACUCCGAUUGCGAAGGCAGCCUACCGGCGCCCGACUGACGCUGAAGCACGAAAGCGUGGGUAUCGAACAGGAUUAGAUACCCGGGUAGUC